rnacentral:rRNA from 1 species
CGAUGAUGCAUAGCCGAGUUGAGAGACUGAUCGGCCACAUUGGGACUGAGACACCGGCCCAAACUCCUACGGGAGGCAGCAGUAGGGAAUCUUCCACAAUGGACGCAAGUCUGAUGGAGCAACGCCGCGUGAGUGAAGAAGGUCUUCGGCUACGUAAAGCUCUGUUGUUGGUGAAGAAGGACAGGGGGUAGUAACUGACCUUUGUUUGACGGUAAUCAAUUAGAAAGUCACGGGCUAACUACGUGCCAGCAGCCGCGGUAAAU